rnacentral:lncRNA from 1 species
CUGUACUUAAACUAAGCCGUAGUUACGUUUGCAAUUUUUUUAGGAUCCAUCAAUUUUUGGGUGUGUUCGACAUCAGUGAAAAAUUUAUGUCCACUCUCUCUCAGUUUGAUGUAUUGUAUGAAAAUAAUCUAAUCACGACUGAUUAUUUAAAUUAGUUAUUUAGAAUGUGAAUAUCAUUUUUAAUUAUUGUCAACUGGUACCCAUUCUAAACGCACUUAAACAUUCGCUAUGAAUUUUCUCUACUAGUAUAUUUCUGUGAUUUUCUUGUAUAUUUGAAAUUGCUUAUUUGUUAUGACUUCUCUCCAAGAUUUUGAGCCUUGAAGCGUGGCUGAAUACAUACAUUAGUGCCUGAAUUGUGAGUUCAUAAAUCUGCAAGUUGACAUGGGCAAUCAAACGAAACCAGACCUAUAGAUUUCUUAAAGAGGCAAAUAUAUCGUCACUGCUAUUUUCAUGCAUCAUUGAAUCAUUUGCGAGAUUAGAUGCAACAUAUAUUCUAUAGUUAGCACUUUCAUCGUAAUUUUCUUUUCCCACUUUUGCACAGGAACCUGUGGCAGGAUCUUGCAAGAGAAAGGAGAGAGAAUCUACCUUUUUCAAUAGAGAUUUCUCGUCCAAAAUGGUCGUGCUUUGGGUGUCACUAAGUAAAUCUUGUUUAAUGUUUUACAUUACAUCCCAAAACUCUGAUGUCUUGUCUGAAGGCCCAAAUCCAGUAGUUUGUUCUGAAAUAUAGUUUCCAAUGUUGUUUUCUAGAUCAGAAAUCCACAUAGAUGGAUGGAGAUCUUGAACCUUCAGUUGUUCCCAGCUUCUUUGCUCCAAAAUAACCAUGCUCCUCACAAUUUCCAUCCGUUCAAUUGCAACAAUAGCCAUCACUAGUAACAGUAGAUAAUGCAAUUAUCAAAUUUUGGUUGAAAAUGAGUUCAAAAUUACGACUACAGCUAAAUAAUUUGCAAGAUCAACAUUCAGCAAUGCAUCCUAUAUGGAGAAAAGUUGAUAAGUAAAUUGUUGUAUUCACAAUGAAGAUGAAUGAUAUUGGACCAGAGCUAGAGGACAAGGUUUCUUCAGGCACGUGUUCAGCAGUCAGAUGAUUAAGAUUUUGUCCGAAACUUAAAGGAGGUGAUUGUGUGACUGCUGUUAAUUCUACAUCCUGGAAGCUAGAGGGAGAAUAUCCUUGAGUGACAGCCACUCGAUCAAAUUCACGACCUCUGGAUUCUUUUGGAUUUUCAAAAGUAGAAGCAUGUUCUGGUGAAUCUAUAACUAUCUCGAGUUGUUGGCUCAAAUUAUAAACAAGCCUGUCACGCUGGAUCAAUUUUUCAUAGUUAUUGUUCAACACGUCUGGAGAAUAUUGUAGAAAAUGCUUCCUAUUUAAACAACAUCAAAGGUUCGGUCACUCGAAAACCAAGAUAAAAGUUUUCAGGAUCUCAAAAUUAUUCAGUCAAGUAAUUAUGGUCAAAACCCAAAGGUUAUAUGAAAUUUCCAUUGAAUGAAAAACAUAUC